GGGAAUCGCACAGGGGUGCGUACAAAUGGACCAGGACGCGGAGAGCACGGAAACAACGGUGCUGGGACCUUGUGCACAGAAUCCAGAUGCCAGAUGGGAAUUAAACAUUCGGCCGAGAAAAGCAAUCUAGUUCCCUGGGCUCGACUUUGACUCACUCCUUGGUCUGCACCAAUCCUCACAUCCCUCAGGUCCUCUAACUUUUACGACAGUAUCCAGAAAUCGAUUCUUUGGUCUCUACGGCUCCAGAAGGCUCGCUCAUCAAGAAACGUUCCAUUACCUUCGAUUAGAAGUGGAUACAUAUAUGAUUUUGGCCUAAAAAAAAAUUUGCAAAAAGGGAGAAUGCAAACUUGUCCUUUUCCUUUUGGAUUUACGGAGUGCCAGUAUCAGGUGUGGUUCCAGGUUCCCGUUCCAGGUUCCAGAUAAGGCUGUGGUGAGGUCUCGAGCAGACAAGCACAAGUCCAAUUGCCUCUUCUUUUGAAAGUUCGUCAAAAAGACUUCUGCUUGUGGGCUUAAUGUUUAUUUCUUUAAAACUCAAUAAAAUCGGAGCAAGAUAAUUAGAACUAAAAGAGA
rnacentral:lncRNA from 1 species